rnacentral:rRNA from 1 species
UCCUGUGACAAAGUCAUCAUAAAUGCAACCAAUUUAGUUGGAUCUCGAGAGAUAAGCAGAGUCGACAUUGGCUAGUACUUGAGUGGGAGGCUGCCUGGGAAUACCACGUGUUGUAGGAU